GAGAGAGAGAGAGAGAGAGCAAAUUUAUCUACAAAGCUGCACUGCGAUCUAAUUCAGUGGCCAGCUGAUGCGGAGCAGAGUACAUACGGAAGGGUGGCAUACGGGAUUUCAUACAGAAAUUCACCGGGCGAAACACAGCGAAAUCAAAAAGCCAAAACUUGGAUCUCGAUUUCAUACCGCCAUCGAGCUCGUUUCCGGUCUUCUUCAAUCGUCAUUUUUCGAGAGUGAAAAAAUAGGGAGUAUCUUAGCUAUCAAUUACGAACACUCGGGGAAGGCGAAUGACUAGUGCAGCAGCAGCAUCAGCAGCAGCUCUGCCACUCAUUUUCUCCUCCGCUUCUCCAAUUACAAACACCACCGCGAAAUUCACAUACCCAGGUUUUGGUUCACCCAGACAUAGAAAUGGUCUGAGACUUGUGGCUUGUGCUUAUACUGCCAUUUCAAGAAGAGGGCAAGGUGCAUCUGACCCAGAGCUUCGGAGAGUUCUUGAACUUGCCUCGGACUCUGAGUUAUAUGAGCUUGAAAGGAUCCUUUUUGGCCCCAGCUACUUCAGCCCUUUAAUAAAAUCAAUAACAAGUAGAGCUGAUGUGGACCAUGUCAUGAUUGAAGAAGAUCUUGAAGAGCGAGAAGACUUUAUAGCAGAACUAGAGUCGCGAUUUUUAUUCCUUGCUGCUGAUGCCCGUUCUACAUUAAGGGGGUGGAGACCAUCAUACAGAAAUGUCUUGCUCUCUGUGAGAAAAAAGUUAAACAUUCGUUGCUCAAGCAAAUUGUCAACUGAAGACCUUGAAAUCGAAAUUUUUCUUCAUCUAUUGCAGAAUUACUCAAGUGAAGAACUGGGAUAUUUUCCGAGCUCAUUGGAACCCUCUAAGACAUCUAAUGAUAAAGGAAGUCUAGAACUUGGACUUGAUCGGGGGAAGGUGCACACCCUUGAUGCUGUGAAAGAGCUUUGGUCAAUGAUUUUGAAGGGUGGUGGUAUGCUUACUUUGGCAAAGAUCUAUGAAUUGUUAGCAAGGAGAUUAUCGGGGAAGGUGUUUGUAGAAGCUGCCAACUAUCAGAUUAAAAAGGAAUUCAUUAAAAAGGGUGGACAAUUAGCUGUGAUUAACCUAGAGUCAAGAGCAGCCUUGCUUGCAGCAAAACAGGGCCUUUCUGGUGCUGCAUCAAGAUAUCUGGGUUUUAGAAGCAUGAUGGCUUUACUUGGCCCAGUGAGAUUUGGUUACUUCAAAGAACAUGCAAGAUUCAUUGCAACUGAAGUUUCAAAUUGGGGUGUGAAGUGUUGAAACUGAUAAUUCAAAUGUCACAUUGAAAAAGAGGCUUUGGGGGACACUUCUGGCAGACGUUGUCAUUCAAAUGCUUGGAACUGAUUAUGCUAGAAUCUUGCGAGCAAUUUAUGCUUUUGCACAGAUCCGCAUCACCCGCACCUAUGGAUAACCGUCUGAGGCUGACUGAAAUUUGGGUUUUUGGAGAGUUGCUUUUUACUAUUUUCAGAUGGUAGAUUGAGAGCUUAGGUUGGUCUUUGAGCUGCUUUAAAAUGAAGGUAUAUUCUGGUUUGGCAGACAAAUUCACUGCGUGACAACCAGCUUUUUGGACAUUUGUUCAUAAUUUUUGAAACUGUGUAUAUAUUGUUAGACUUAGAUACAUCUCUGCGGCUUCAGACUAUUAUUAUAUGGUGCAAAUGAACUCUGAAUUCCCAUUUUUUA